GCCCCCGGCAGCUCGGGGCUCCCAUGCUCUGCCCCGCCUCGCCGCUCCGGGCCCCCGCGCCGCCGCGCCGAUGCCGUUCUCGGGCGAGGAGCGGAGCCUCCAGGGGAUCUACAAACCGGCGGGGCCGGCCGAGGGGCGGCCGGUCUGCUCCGAGUGCUACACCAACAGCUCCUUCGUCUACGACGAUGGCAGCGCCCACAGGCUCUCGUCGCCCGGCGGCUGCGGCGGCGGGGACGGCGGCGGGAGCCGCAAGAGCGGGGUCAUUCUGGACAUCGCCUCCCUGAAGAUGACGGAGCUGGAGUCCGAGGUGCUGCCUCUGCCGCCUCGGUACCGCUUCCGCGAUCUGCUGCUGGGGGACCAGUCCUUCCAGAGCGACGACAGGGUGCAGGUCGAGUUCUACGUGAAUGAGAACACCUUCAAGGAGCGGCUGAAGCUGUUCUUCAUCAAAAACCAGCGAUCCAGCCUGAGGAUUCGGCUCUUCAACUUCUCCCUGAAGCUGCUCACGUGCCUCCUGUACAUCGUGCGUGUCCUGCUCGACAACCCCGAGGAGGGCAUCGGCUGCUGGGAAUGCGAAAAGCAGAAUUACACAGCGUUCAACCAGUCCACGAACAUAAACUGGUCCCACAUCUUUUGGGUGGACAGAAAAACCCCGCUGUGGGCAGUGCAGGUCAGCAUCGCUCUCAUCAGCUUCCUGGAGACCAUGCUGCUCAUCUAUCUCAGCUACAAGGGGAACAUCUGGGAACAGAUUUUUCGCAUUUCCUUCAUCCUGGAGAUGAUCAACACGGUGCCAUUCAUCAUCACGAUAUUCUGGCCUCCUUUGCGGAAUUUGUUCAUUCCUGUGUUUCUGAACUGCUGGCUGGCCAAGUACGCCCUGGAGAACAUGAUUAACGAUCUGCACCGAGCCAUCCAAAGGACGCAGUCAGCGAUGUUUAACCAGGUGCUCAUCCUGAUCUGCACCCUCCUGUGUCUCGUUUUCACGGGGACCUGUGGCAUCCAGCAUUUAGAAAGAGCAGGUGAGAAGCUCUCCCUCUUCAAGUCCUUCUAUUUCUGCAUCGUCACCUUUUCCACCGUGGGCUACGGAGAUGUGACACCAAAGAUUUGGCCUUCCCAGCUCCUCGUGGUGAUCAUGAUCUGCGUGGCCCUGGUGGUGCUGCCGCUGCAGUUCGAGGAGCUCGUCUACCUGUGGAUGGAGCGGCAGAAGUCGGGAGGGAACUACAGCCGGCACCGCGCGCAGACGGAGAAGCACGUCGUCCUCUGCGUCAGCUCCCUCAAGAUCGACCUCCUCAUGGACUUCCUCAACGAGUUCUACGCCCACCCACGCCUGCAGGAUUACUACGUGGUGAUCCUGUGCCCGACAGAGAUGGACAUCCAGGUGCGGCGCGUGCUGCAGAUCCCGCUGUGGUCACAGCGCGUCAUUUACCUCCAGGGCUCCGCGCUCAAGGACCAGGACCUCAUGAGAGCCAAGAUGGACAAUGGAGAAGCUUGCUUCAUUCUCAGCAGCCGAAACGAGGUGGACAGAACAGCGGCGGACCACCAGACCAUCCUGAGGGCCUGGGCUGUCAAAGACUUUGCUCCAAAUUGUCCUCUCUACGUUCAGAUCCUAAAGCCAGAAAAUAAAUUUCAUGUCAAGUUUGCUGAUCACGUUGUGUGUGAAGAGGAGUGCAAAUACGCCAUGCUGGCCCUGAACUGUGUCUGCCCUGCCACCUCCACCCUCAUCACGCUGCUGGUGCACACCUCCCGUGGCCAGGAGGGCCAGGAGUCCCCGGAGCAGUGGCAGCGGAUGUACGGGCGCUGCUCGGGCAAUGAGGUCUAUCACAUCCGCAUGGGAGACAGCAAAUUCUUCAUGGAGUACGAGGGGAAGAGCUUCACCUACGCAGCCUUCCACGCACACAAGAAGUACGGUGUCUGCCUGAUCGGCAUCCGGAGGGAGGAGAACAAAAGCAUCCUGCUGAACCCCGGCCCGAGGCACAUCAUGGCAGCGUCGGACACCUGCUUCUACAUCAACAUCACCAAGGAGGAGAACUCUGCCUUCAUCUUCAAGCAGGAGGAGAAGCAGAAGAAGAAGGGCUUUGCGGGCAGGGGCAGCUACGACGGCCCCUCGCGCCUGCCCGUGCACAGCAUCAUCGCCAGCAUGGGUACAGUGGCCAUGGACCUGCAGAACACCGAGUGCCGCCCUGCCAACAGCAGCAAACUGGCGCUGCCGGCCGAGAACGGCUCGGGCACGCGCCGGCCCAGCAUCGCCCCCGUCCUGGAGCUGGCUGACACCUCGUCCCUGCUGCCCUGUGACCUCCUCAGUGACCAGUCCGAGGACGAGAUGACGCAGUCAGAUGAGGAGGGCUCGGCGGUUGUGGAGUAUGUGAAGGGCUACCCCCCAAACUCGCCCUAUAUCGGGAGCUCCCCGACCCUGUGCCACCUUCUGCCCGAGAAAGCCCCGUUCUGCUGCCUGAGGCUGGACAAGGGCUGCAAACACAACAGCUUCGAGGACGCCAAAGCCUACGGGUUCAAGAACAAACUGAUCAUCGUUUCUGCAGAGACAGCUGGCAAUGGCCUCUACAACUUCAUCGUCCCGCUGCGGGCGUACUACCGCUCCCGCAAGGAGCUCAACCCCAUCGUGCUGCUGCUGGACAACAAGCCUGAGCACCACUUUCUGGAGGCCAUCUGCUGUUUCCCCAUGGUUUACUACAUGGAGGGCACCAUUGACAACCUGGACAGUUUGCUGCAGUGUGGCAUCAUCUACGCUGACAACCUGGUGGUGGUGGACAAGGAGAGCACCAUGAGUGCCGAGGAGGACUACAUGGCCGAUGCCAAGACGAUUGUCAACGUCCAGACCAUGUUCAGGCUCUUCCCCAGCCUCAGCAUUAUCACAGAGCUGACCCACCCCUCCAACAUGAGAUUCAUGCAGUUCAGAGCAAAGGACAGUUACUCUCUGGCCCUUUCCAAGCUAGAAAAGAGAGAGCGAGAGAAUGGCUCCAACCUGGCCUUCAUGUUCCGGCUGCCCUUUGCAGCAGGGAGGGUCUUCAGCAUCAGCAUGUUGGACACGCUGCUCUACCAGUCAUUCGUCAAGGAUUACAUGAUCACCAUCACUCGGCUGCUGCUGGGCCUCGACACCACGCCGGGCUCCGGGUACCUCUGUGCGAUGAAGAUCACGGAGGAUGACCUGUGGAUCCGGACGUACGGCCGCCUCUUCCAGAAGCUCUGCUCCUCCAGUGCCGAGAUUCCCAUCGGCAUCUACAGGACGGAGUCGCACAUGUUCGCAACCUCCGAGCCCCACGACAUCAGAGCGCAGUCACAGAUCUCAAUCAAUGUUGAGGACUGCGAGGACACGAAGGACGUCAAGGAGCACUGGGGCAUCAAGACGAGCCACCACAGGAACUCGUGUUCCAGCGACCAGUCGGAGCACCCGCUGCUGAGGCGCAAGAGCAUGCAGUGGGCACGGCGGCUCAGCAGGAAGGGCAACAAGCACUCCAGCAAGACGGCCGAGUGGAUCAGCCAGCAGCGCCUCAGCCUGUACCGGCGCUCCGAGCGCCAGGAGCUGUCCGAGCUGGUCAAAAACCGUAUGAAGCACCUGGGCUUGCCCACCACGGGGUACGAGGAUGUAGCAAAUUUAACAGCCAGUGAUGUGAUGAAUCGGGUAAACCUGGGAUAUUUGCAAGGUAAUUCCCUUUCCCUGGGAGUCCCGCGUGACUCAUGGCGUGCAGCGUACAACAAGAUCAUGCCAGCUAAGCCCAAACCUCACCCUUGCCAGUUUUCACCUUAGAUCCCCGAGCUUUCAGCACUAAUUUGUUGGGUGGCAUUGGAAAACCAGUCAGUGUCCUGUGGUGUUGGUGCAAAUGUAGGGCUCUGCCUAAUCAGGGAGACAGAAACCUCAGAAACCUUUUUUAGCUGCAUUCCUACAGGGAAAUCACAGCCCUUGGCUUUCAUUAACAAAACCCUCCCUCCAGGGCUCUGCGAGGUGGUUUUGGGCUGUACAGCCAGAGACAGCUUGAGGAGGGGACAGGGAGGGGGACGAGUGCACCAAGGCUGCCUGUGCAUGUUGUGAUGAGAUGCUGGAGCUCCUGCUGGGUCAGCCACAGCCCAGGGCAAGGCACUGCUUUAAAAAUCCCUUUGCACCCCACGGUUUGCCUUCCUGGACCCCUCUCCAGCAUUAGAAGACCCCAUUUUCUGACCAGGGGUGCUGGGCUCAGCCCGAGGCAGCAAUGGCAGCCACAGGGGCCACUGGUGCUGCAGCUGCCCUGGGAACCCUGUGGGGCUCUGUGGGACCUGCCAGGGUUUCCCAUCUUUUUUUCACCUUUUCACCACGGUGGAACAUGCCCUGGAAAGGCUCCUUUUUGCUGCAGCAGCCCCAAGGUUACCAAGGGCCCAUCCCAGCUUCAUUUUUGGCUUCACUAGCCCAGGCUUAAGGUGAAACGUUGGCAUUUUCCUUCAAAGUGUGUUCUCCAUCAGACAGCCCCAGCUGGGGCUCAUGGAAGCCCCAGGCCAGCAGAGUAUAUUGCCCGGGGUGGUGGAGGUGCAGCAAUAUACUCGGUGUGCAGGGCUGCUUGGGGUCAGGAAACUUCCAUGGGGCAGGGAAAGCUGCCCAGAGCCCGUCCCCACCUCCUGUCACGUCAAACCCCGUGUGUCCCGUCGGGUCCCAGGGUCUGUGUGCCGCCCCUGCCCCAGCAUUGCCACCCCCAUCCCUGUCUCCCUGUAAGGCUGAGCACUGGGAUGGCCAAAACUCCCCGGUGGCUCCGGGACCCUGGCACAGGCUGGGGGUCCCAGGCAGCAUCACCCCGAGGGUCCCCCCGGCUCUGCAGCACCUCCUGAGGUCCCAGAGGUGCCAGGGAUGUGUCUGGGCAGCGAAACAAAGGUCUGGCGUCCCCCUGCAAGCACCGCUGGCCCCGGGGAUGCCCCUGGGCUCACCCGGGGAUGCCCUGGCAGAGGCAGCUCGGGAGGAAUCUGCUCACACUCCUGUGCCGGGUGGCUGUGCUGCUGGAGCUGCAGCUGAGGGCUGGACAGAAGCAGUUUUGCCCCGUGCAGGGGUGAUGUGCACGGUGAUGUUGUCAUUGCUGUGGCAGGAGCCCCUGGCCGUGCCCACCAUGGGGCAGGGCAGCCUCUGGCUGGGGGAUCCCCUAGGCCAGGCAGGGGGACAGCAGGGACAGGGUGCUGGGAGCAGCAGGACAGGCCACAGGGAGCGGCCCCCAGCCUGGAGUUAAUCCCAUCCCAGAGGCCGGGUCCUGCUCCUGCUGCCCCCAAAGCAGCUCCAUUUGCUCCAUUUGCUCCUCAGAGGGGCCUUUCCAAAAGCCUGGGGAGGUGUCCCAGUGACAAGCCUUGCAGCGAGCUGGUGUCCCGCCGUGCUCCUCAUGCUGCCCCGGUGUCCGUCUGUCCGUCCCCUCUCCGCCCUGUCCAUCCACCCCCCAUCAGCCCGUCUGGAAAUGGUGUCACCUGUGGCAGCUUCCACCCCUCCCCGGCGCCCGCAGCCUCGCACCCCCAUCCAUUUCACCAUGAUCUUGUUCUUGGCUAUUUCGGGAAGCACAGGGGCCCCCCCGGCACCGAGACCCCCCGUCCGCCCCCGUGGGUGCUGCUCUUGGUGGCCCUGAGCCCCCCCCGGGAGGUCACUGAGGUUUAGAGCCAUCCCCAAAACGGCAUCGACGGCUCUGAAAACUCCAUGGAGGCGAUUUUCCCCGGGCAGGGAAAAGCAGCAACCCGUGGAUUAACCCCGUGCCUGGAUGAUGCUAAAUUGAGUAAUUGGAGGGGAGAGGGGGGCAGAGCGUCGGGGCGGCCCCGGGGGGGUUCAGCUGCCCUGAGCCAGUGCUUGGACUCGUGCUGUACCUGACACAGCAGGACUAACCUGUUCCCUCUUUUGCACUGGAACAAGAUGAGAUGAACGACCACCAGAACACCUUGUCCUACGUCCUGAUCAACCCCCCCCCGGACACGCGGCUGGAGCUCAAUGACAUCGUGU